CAGGAAGACAGCAGCCCUAAACGAGAUUU
rnacentral:SRP_RNA from 13 species